rnacentral:tRNA from 2 species
CAAGUUAAUUUUUAGUUAGAAAUUUCAUUUACAUUGAUAAUUAUAUCGUUCAAUUCGGUAUGGCUUGA